rnacentral:lncRNA from 1 species
CCUGAUACCCAACCUUUGAUUUUGCUUAUUCUUUUUACUUUGUUCCAAUAAGCAGGGAACAACAGAAAUUUGCUUUCAUUUGACAGAUGUUUAACUCAGGGACAUGUCAACCUCCUAGUUUUGGACUUCAGUUAAAUCCAUAUGAACCUUGGCUUUCUCAGUCUAGCAUUUUGAUGACAUCAUGCUAAUAGGUCUUGGAAAGCGAGUGUUUUUAGUACACUAGAUGCCUUGGCAAUAAAGACACAAGAAAUGUAGGUGAAUAUUAUGAUGAAGUUGGUUUGAUAAUUCUAGAAAGUCAGUGAAUGGCCAGAAAUCCUCAACUCAGAGCUGAAGCAAGUAAUUUAUAGGAAUUUGAGUAGAAUUCUUACAAAG